rnacentral:rRNA from 1 species
UACGAAGGGGGCUAGCGUUGCUCGGAAUUAGCUGGGCGUAAAGGGCGGCGUAGGCGGCACUGUUAGUCAGGCGGUGAAACUUCCUGGGCUCAAACCUGGGGACUGCGCUUGAUACGGCAGAGCUAGAGGAUGGAAGAGGCUCGCGGAAUUCCCGAGUGAGAGGUGAAAUUCGUAGAUAGUUGGGAAGAACACCGGUGGCGAAGGCGGCGAAGCUGGUCCAUUACGUGGACGGCUGAGGCGGCGACAGCGGUGGGGAGCAACAGGG